rnacentral:lncRNA from 1 species
AUGCCCUGGUUAGGCAGGAUUGCUGGGUUCUGUACCAAAAACCUGUCAAAUCGCACUCUGAGGAGCUCUCCCAGGCAGACCCAGACAGGACUUUGCAGGAGCUUGCCUGGCAAACCCCACAUCGGUCGGGCACCCCCCCAUGCAGCUGAGCAAGGUGGCAGCAGCACCCCAAAAGCACCCAGCUGGGGGCACGGGUCCGGGGGACACAACCGCUGCGGGGCCAGCGGGGCAGGCCGCUGCUCAUCCGCACCUCGCUCCCCGUGCCAAGCAGCAAGGCCAGGAGCCCAGCCGGCCUCCCGCUGCCUCCCCUGGGGCCGGGAGGGGACACCCAGCGGGGACACGGAGCGGGGACACCACCACGCCGUGCCCCCCACCCCCGAGCUGCUCCUGUUGCACUGCGGCACGGGUCCGGCCGUGGGGCCGCCAGCCUCCAGCCUCCGCUGCCCGUGCCGGCUGCUCGAGCGGCAGCUCCGCUCCCCUCCCCUCCGUCCCUUCCAUCCCUUCGUCCUUCCGUCCCUCCCGGCCCCAAACCCCCCGGCCCGGCCGUACCGGAGCGGCCCCGCUGGGCAGCGCCGUCUCCAGGCAGCGGCGCCCCGGAACCAAAGCGGCCGCCAGGAAGCGCCGGGCCCGGCCCGGCCCCGCUCGGAGCCCGCAGAGCCGGGAGCGGGCCCCCCCGUGCGGCCGCGGGGACGGGAGCGGGGCCCGGCGGCUCCCGGGGGAGGGCUGAGGUGGGAAGGGGCCUCCUGGGUCGUCUGCCCCGGCCCCUGCCCCAGCAGGGACAGCCAGGGCCGCGUCCCGUCAGGGUUUGAACAUCUCCAGAGGAGGAGGCUCCACAGCCCCUGUGGGCAGCCUGUGCUCAGUCACCCUCACAAUGAAGUCCUUCCUCACACGGUGAUGAAACCUCCUGUGGUCCAAUUUCUAGCCAUUAACCCUCACCCUAUCACAGAGAAGUUUGACCCCAUCCUCUUCACAUUGUCCCCUCAGGUUGAGAUAGAGGUUGGUGAGAUCCCUUCUCUAGGCUAA